CAUUGGGCUUAUUAGGAUCAGUGUAACAUGCACUUUUGCUAUACUAGAUUGUAUUUGACUUUCAUCAUGAAAUCUCAUUACACUAAAAAGAAAUGGAAACAAGCUAUGCAAAUAAAAGAUUUUGCAGGUACUCUAAUGAAAUUACUCUGUAUCUGCAAAAACACACUUUGUAUGUAGGUCAUUCAAACCCUGAAUGUUGCUGGUCAGAGUGUUCUCAUUUGCUUUUGAAAAUUAAGAAUAGAUUCUCCAGCCUUAGCAGAAUUAUUUCAGAUUUAUGCUAACAUAACUGGAGUUAUAGCUUGAUCCUUGAAGUAGUUGUGCUAUCUGAAUUCUGAUGUUGAGUCAGUGAUUUACUAGGAGAGGGAACUUCCAAUUGCUUGUCUGCUUGCAGCUGGUUUGGGUGCUGCUACAACUUUAUCCAUGUGUGAAAUCCACGUGGCUGUGGGCACAGUCCUGAACCCCCAGCCAGGAUGAGGAAUUGUUUUCACCCAUUUGGCUCUUGUGGGGCAUCGUCUUGUCGUGUUUUGCCUGUUGGCAUCUGUGGAGGCAGCAUGAGCUGGCAGCACAGCAGAUCUCCUCAGGCACAAAGUCCUCCAUCCUGAAGCUCAGAGAAGAUCCGGUUACCACCUCCAAGAACAGUGAAUUGUUCCCAGAACAACUCACUACCAAAGCUCAUAUGUCCAAACCCAGACGCUUCACCGCUAUUCCCGUAGCUGCAGACAGUGCUGAGACCUUCUCAUACUCUGCUGGCAGGAGAAGCUGUAGUUAUAAGCUGAAUUCCAAGUGCAGAAAAUCCUGCUGAAGACUCCCAGGUUACAUGGGAAGACGAUGAUGUGUGGUGUGUGAACAAUUUGCUGGGUAAGUGUGUAGGGAUGGGAACUGGCAGAAAGGUUGAACUGUUUUCUCUUUCUGCCUUGACAGUCUCUUUUGUUUUUCAGAUGCAGAUUUAACAAAACAAAACUAGAGCUAAUUUUAAUUUUUAAUUAAAGUCAAUAGCUUAUGUUCAUUCUGACAUAUUUGGUACAAAGAAGAAUAAAAGAAAAUACAGAGGGAAACUUGAAAGAGAAAUGCAUUUCUUCAGCUUAAUUAUUUAGUUUCAAACUAAGAAACAGCUCUGCAGACGUCGAUUAUCCUUCAGGGAUAACUCAGAAGAAGUGAGCAAUUAGCUUGAUUUUCUGUUGAAUAUGUAGCUUGUGACUCAGUAUGUGAUCUAUUAAAAAGAUGAUAAUUCCUUUUAAA